rnacentral:rRNA from 1 species
ACUCCUGCGGGAGGCAGCAGUGGGGAAUUUUGGACAAUGGGCGAAAGCCUGAUCCAGCAAUGCCGCGUGAGUGAAGAAGGCCUUCGGGUUGUAAAGCUCUUUUGUCAGGGAAGAAACGGUGAAAGCUAAUAUCUUUUGCUAAUGACGGUACCUGAAGAAUAAGCACCGGCUAACUACGUGCCAGCAGCCGCGGUAAUACGUAGGGUGCAAGCGUUAAUCGGAAUUACUGGGCGUAAAGCGUGCGCAGGCGGUUUUGUAAGUCUGAUGUGAAAUCCCCGGGCUCAACCUGGGAAUUGCAUUGGAGACUGCAAGGCUAGAAUCUGGCAGAGGGGGGUAGAAUUCCACGUGUAGCAGUGAAAUGCGUAGAUAUGUGGAGGAACACCGAUGGCGAAGGCAGCCCCCUGGGUCAAGAUUGACGCUCAUGCACGAAAGCGUGGGGAGCAAACAGGAUUAGAUACCCGUGUAGUCC